GAUACCAAAAAGUCUAGGGCAACAGACUGUGAAAGGUCAUAUGAUUGUGAGAGGUGAAGCCGGCUGGGAUUCUGGGUCAGGUGGUGACUUGGAGAACUUUUCUGUCUAGCUAAAGGAUUGUAAACACACCAAUCAGCACUCUGUGUCUAGCUAAAGGAUUGUAAAUGCACCAAUCAGCACUUGUAAAAAUGCGCCAAUCAGCACUCUGUGUCUAGCUAAAGGUUUGUAAAUGCGCUAAUCAGCACUCUGUAAAAACAGACCAAUCAGCACUCUGUAAAACAGACCAAUCAGCGCUCUGUAAAAUGGACCAAUCAGCAGGAUGUGGGUGGGGCCAAAUAAGGGAAUAAAAGCUGGCCACCCGGGCCAGCAGCAGCAACCUGCUCAGGUCCCCUUCCAUGGUGUGGAAGCUUUGUUCUUUCGCUGUUCACAAUGAAUCUUGCUGCUGCUCACUCUUUGGGUCCGCACUAGCUUUAUGAGCUGUAACGCUCACUGCGAAGGUCUGUGGCUUCACUCCUGAAGUCAGCAAGACCACGAACCCACCGGAAGGAGGAAACAACUCCGGAAGCACCACGUUUAAGAGCUGUAACACUCACUGCGAAAGUCUGCAGCUUCACUCCUGAAGUCAGCAAGACCACAAACCCACCGGAAGGAAGAAAUUCCAGACACAUCUAAACAUUGGAAGGAACAAACUCCAGACACACUAUCUUUAAGAACUGUAACACUCACCGCGAGGGUCUGUGGCUUCAUGCUUGAAGUCAGCCGGACCAAGAACCCACCGGAAAGAACCAAUUCCUGACACAAUCGUUCUUCAUGGUCUAUGACUCCAAGGUCUGAAAUGAUCUCAUUUACCCCACAUGAUAGAUGUGGCCCUUCCAGAUGAGGAGUUCAACAAGACUACAUGGUAGAGCAGCCAGAGAACCCACUGGAAAUAAGGCUCAAAAUAAGGAGUAACCACAAAAUAAGAGACAGAGAAUGCUGAUUCACUAUGCAGUGAAACAUGCCUAACGUGUCAACAGCUAAAUGCCCGGUGACAGUGUGGUUGUCUGGGCAACAGAAGAAGUCACCCACGCAAACACUUAAAGGACCAUACUUAUUUUACAAGAGGAACAGUUUUCAAUGGAAUGGAUAUUAAAACACACACCUGGAUCCCUUUACCACAGGUGCUUUGAGAGGCACCAUCAAGGACAGUGAGCUAACGCAGGAGAAUGGAGUCCCAGAAACCUAGGAGGAGAAGACAAAGUGUCAGCCUCUCGGCAUCUGCAGUGUUGCUAGGAAAAGAGCUCUGAUCCCAGGGGCUUACCCACUUCCACAGGAUCAUCCUCUGCAUAUGAAGGAACAGACAAGCCCUCAGCUCUACCACUUUGGAGAGGGGGGGAUUGGACAGCAUGAGCCUUCAAUUGUAUCUCUUGGAUGACCAAGGAAGGCUGGAUUUCUGCACCUAAAAAAUGGAAGCACAAACUGUACAACAAAUACUCUCCAUUCAAGUUGAAGUUCUCAAAUAAGGUUCUUUUCAAGGUGUUGGUGACACAGAUAUGAGGAAAACAGAGUUGACUCAUGGUGAUGGAGCUUACAUUCUAUGGGGCAAGAGUGAGCAGAGGGUAAAUCAUGAAAUAAAGAACUUACUAUAGACACAUAUUGUGGGGAAAAUACAGCAGCAGAAGAUAAUAGGAAGUGUCAGGACAUUUGGAGUGGCUAAAUCUGCUGUUUUUUUUUUUUUUCCAGAAUGUGGACAAGAAGACAUCUUCAAUAAAGUGACAUUUAUAUAGAGACAUAAAGAAAUGGAGGGGGAGCCAUGCAUAUCAAGGAACAUAAGUGCAAAGGCCUUGAGUUAGAAUCCUGUAGGGUGAUUUGUAGAAACAGUAAGGCCAGAGAGGAACACAGCUGGAACAGAGUGAAUUAGGAGAUGUGAACAGAAAGGUCGCAGGGAGUCAGGUUAUUUAGGACUCUGUAGGCCAUUGUAAAUAUUUGGGAUGGGACACUGGGCAGAGGAGUAACAUCAUCUCAUUUCAGUUUUGAAAGGUUCACUCCAGCUACUCUGUUGACAAUGGAUUAUAGAAGACUGAACAUGGAAUCCAGGAGACCAGUCAGAAAACUUCUUCAGGAAUCCAGCACAGUCUUGGCCUGUUCUGGAGAAUGCUCCCCAUCAAAAAUAAUUGACUGGAGACAAGCCAAGUCAGGAUUCUCCCUGGGAUCAAUUUCUGAUGGCGCUUUCUUCAUAAACAGGGGGACCUUUUCAAAUUCCUCUUCCCACUGGUCCUCAUGAAAGCCGCCACGGUAAGGCUGGCUCUGGAACUUUUCCAGGAACAAGUCCGUGGCAUCGUCUGAGGUGGGGUCCUGCUCAGGUUACUCCAUAACUGAUGCCCUGCCCUCCAGCCCAGGUCCCGGCACCGUGAAGUGUAGAAAAUACUCUACAAUGAAUAAAAAUAAAAUACAAUAUUCAAGAUUUAUGAAUGCAAUAAAAGCAGUGGUCAGAAGGAACAUUUAAGCUCUAAACACAUUAAAAAAGAAGAAUGAUAUUAAUAGAAAAUCUAAUUGUGUAUCUUACAUAACUAGAAAAUGAAAAGCAGUCUAAAGCCAAAGCAUGAAGGAGGUAGGAAAUAAUGAUUAGAGGAAACAUAAAUGACAUAGAGAAUAGAAAAACAAGAGAGAGUAUCAAUGAACCUAAAAUUUGGUUCUUUAAAAAGAUUACCAGAUUUGACAAACCUUUAGCUAUACUAAUAAUAGAAGACUAAAAUAAAUAAAAUUAAAAAUGAAAUCAUAGACAUUAUAACUGAUACCAUAGAAAUACAAAGGAUCAAAAGAAACUACUAAUGAACAAUUAUAUGCCAACAAAUUGGAUUACCUACAGGAAAUUGAUGAAUUCCUACAACAUACAACCUACCAACGCUGAAUCAUGAAGAAAUAGAAAAUCUAAACAGACCAAUAGUGAGUAAAGAGAUUGAGUCUGUAAUCAAAAAUCUUACAAAAAAGAAAAGCUCAGUAUCAGACAGCUUCACUGAUGAGUUCUAUCAGUCCUUUAAUGAAAAUUUAUACCAAUCAUUGCCAAACUCUUUCAUAAAAUUGAAGAGAUGAGAAUAGUUCAUAAUUCAUUGUAUGAGGCUGGCAUUACGUAGAUACAAAGCCAGACAAAGACAUUACAAGAUUGUCUCUUUUAAGUAUAGAUGCAAAGCCUCUUGAUAAAAUCCUAUCAAACUGAAUACAGCAGCAUAUUAAAGGGAUCAUACUCCAUGACAAAUGGGAUUUAUCUCAGUAAUGCAAGAAUGGUUCAACGUAUGAAAAUCACUCAAUGUAAGAAACCACAUGAAUAGAAUGAAGGGAGAAAAAAGACCCCAAAAUAUACGAACAUUUCAGUUGAUGCAGAGGAAUCAUUUGAUAAAGUUCAACAUUCUUUUAAAACACUCAGUAAAUGAAGAAUAAAAGAUAUCUUCCAUAACACGAUAAAGGUGAUAUAUGAAAAACCCACAGCUAACAUCACACCCAAUAUUGAAAGACUCAAAGCUUUCCCUUAACAAUGGGAACGAGAGCAGGAUUCCUACUGUCGCUAUUUUUACUCAAUAUAGUAGUAGAAAUUCUAGCCAGAGCAAUUAGAGAAGUCAAAUAAAUGAAAAUCUUACAAAUUGAAAAGAGAGAAGUUCUCCAUUCACAGAUGACCUGGUCUUAUGUGUAGAAAGCUCUAAGGAUUUAAUAACAAAACUAUUAGAGCUAAUAAAUGAAUUAAGCAAAGUUGUAGGACAAAAAAACAAUAAACAAAAUCAGUUGUGUUUCUAUACACUAGAAAUAAGCAAUAGGACAAGUUUUUUAAAACUUUCUUUUUAUAGUAGCAUCUGAAAGAACAGAUAUGUAGGAAUUUAAUCGGAAAUUAAAGACGUACUGAAAACUACAAAACAUUGCUGAAAUAAAGAAGUCAUAAAUCAAUGGAAUGUGUUCAUGGUGUAAGAUUUAAUAUUGUUAAGGUGAUAAUGCUACUCGAUUUGCUUUGCUAAUCAAAGCAAUCUACAGAUUGAAUCCAACAAUUUUUUUUUUCUUGUGGAAAUAGAAAACCCAUUCUAAAGUUCAUAUGAAAUCUUAAGGGACCUUGCAUAGCCAAAACAAUCUUGAAAAGAAUAAAUGUGGACAACUCACAUUUCCUGAUUUCAAAACUUAUCACAAAGAUACAGUAAUCAAAACAGUGAGGUACUUGUAUAAAGACAGACAUACAGACCAAUAGAUUUGAAUAGAUAUUCCAGAAGUAAACUCUCACAUACACAGACAAUUGAUUUUUGACAAGGGCACAAAAGCCAUUCAAUGGGGAAAAGGACAAUCUUUUCAACAAAUGGUGCUGGGAAAACUGUGUAUCCACAUGUAAAAAAAUGAAGUCAAACCUUUUCCUCAAAUUAUAUACAGAAAUUCACCAAAAAUGAAUAAAAUACUUAAAUAUAAGAACUAAAACUAUAAAACUCUUAGAGGAAAACAUACAACUAAAUCUUCAUGAUAUUAAUUUCUUAGAUAUGACACCAAAAGGAUGAGGAAUAACAAAAAUAGAUAAACUGAAGGGUAGAAAGCAAAGUGAUAAUGGAAGAUGAGAGUCGAGUGAUGUGACCAGGAGCCAAGGAAUGCCAUGGCCUCUAGAUGUGGGGAGUUAAGGGACCAAUUUUCCCUGGAAACUCCUGAAGGAACUUGCCAUGCCAACACCUUGAUUAUAGCCCUUUAAGAUACAUUUUGGACUGUUGAUCUCCAGGAUUGUAAGAUAAUACAUUCGUGUUGAUUUAAGCCACUGAAUAUGUGGUGAUUUGUUACAGCAGCAAUAGUAAACUGAUACACAAUCUCAAUGAAAGUAGGGAUUUCUGUCUUCCCACACCCUGCUCACUUCACUAGAGAAUUUAUAGCACUUAGUGUAUUCUUCGAUAAAUAUUUGUUGAGUAAGAUGAAUGAAGCCAGACUUUAGAGUCAGAUUACACUUGGCUGGUUAACUGUUGUGAGGAAAGCAGUUGAAAGUUCUCUUGGCCUUGCUUCUACUUGCACUGGGAAGCACUGUCAUCAAUGAAGGGGUUGCUGUGGGUUUCAAGAGAAAAGAAAAGGUGUGAGAAUCUCCCAGGUACAGUGGGAGCUCAUCUGGACUAGGGAAAUAAAAUAGGAUUGCUUGGUUAUUGCUCACUUGGUCACUAAUAUAACAUGAAUUGAGACAGUAUGGUUGUAUAUUUUUCUCCAAUUAAGGUUAUGGGGUGGCAUGGCCUAGGGGAAGUUACUUAUUUUGCAAGGGUGAUUUGAUAGAGGCAGCAAGCCAGGUAGCUGGGAUGUUUGCAAGGGCAUGAUCAUAAUGGUGUACCAUGCAAUUUAAGCAGGGGCAGGUGGAAAUAAGGACUUGAUGUGAUAUGUUCAGAUCCAUGAAUAAGACAUCAUAACAGGAGUCACAGUAUUGUCAGACUAGAAGUACUGGAGGAAGGGAGCUGGACAUUUGAAAGAGAUGGGAGGGUGGAAUGUUUGAGAUUGAGUGAAUGGAGGUGCUGUGUUCAUUUGGUCAUGCUAAGGUCUUGGGGUGGCCAUGGGAGGGGUGGGUGGCUGAGGUGGGGCAGAGGACAGACUCAUCUGGAGAUGAUGCAAUAAAUGAAGGGGAAAGCUAGGCCCUGCAAGGAGCUCUCUUGUGUGUAUUAAAAUCAUCAAAAACUGUGGCAGGAGUGAUUGCAGAGAUCCUAGUGACCCAUGAUCAAGGAAUGAAGAGGAAGACCAGCGGUCUAGAGAUUACUGCACAUGUGGGGUGGGAAGAGGGCGGUAACAGAUGACAAUCAUUAAUUUGAUAAAAAAGUAUUGAAUGUCUGCUCUGUGCCAGGCACAUGGUGGUAGGGUCUGAUGGGAGGUUAAAGGGAAGAGAGGUGGAUAAUGUUCUGGAGAUUUCAAUGAGCAAGAAGGGUAUUUAGCCCACAUUGAGGCCCAACAGAUUGAAGCCUUAAAAGAAAACAGCAACACCUGAGAAGGAUGCCAGGAAAUGAGUCCUAGGGGUACAUGUGGAGUCAGCUGGAGCACAUCCAGGAAGAAGGACAGAAGAAAGACUGUGAAGGACUUGAGUCAGGGAGGGGUGUGAGCUGACUCAGAAAGGGUGAUGCAUGGGUAGGCCAUGGGGUGAGGGAUGAACGGGAGUCUUGGAUUUCCUGUGGUCACUCAGGGAAACCCAGCAGCUAAAAGUAAGUGAUUUAAGCAAAUGAAUGGACAGAUGAAUUAAUGAAUAGACUAAAGAUGGACAAAUGCUUCCACCAGCCUUGCUUCAGGCCCUAUUUAGAACUGAAGUUGACUUCCUCUUUCUUUUAAUAGCUGCAAAAAUGAUGAAUUUGAUUUUCGUCUCUAGAAGCAAUUUCCUUUUUAAAUCAGGUGAGGAUCUUGGCAGAUGCGAAGAAUCUUUCAGAACCUGCAUGUAUAUGAGAAAGGGAUAUGACAGCAUGAAGUUCUCCUGUUUGAAGAAGCUAAAUGGAGCCACUUUUUGACUCAGUUGACUGGGACCUGGAGCUGGUGCACUAUUUGAAUUGCAUGGUGUGCCUGCCGCUGCCUUUUGACUUCUCCAGCCUGUACACCUGCCUUUUUGGGGAGAACUGUGGUAACAUAUGGGGAGGCGUCCUGUAUUUUCUGCAAUAUCUGACAAAGAAAAACUAGUUGGUUCAUAUGUAUAUAUGAUCUUUCAACAAGAACGUCAAAUAAAUAUCUUCACUCCUUGGGGAGAAGCAGGUCAGAGCCCCACUGUCUCAGCUAGCUCUCACUUGGCUGUCUUGUUUUGGGGCUGGAAGGCCACACUGUGUUUCCUGGGGUAGAGGCGGAGUCUGGGCAUUCUCCCUUUGUAGCUGAGAGCUAAGAGCAGUUGUGUCUGCUUUGAUAAAAUAAAGUUAUUUUUUAGUUUAGUCUGAUCUCCAAAUCCUUCCCUUUCAGAUACCUCUGCCAUCCAAGAUCAGGGGAUACUAAAUUUUCAAAGCAUUUUCUCAGGAGUUGCAUGAGAAAACAUACACCUGCUCUUGUUUUCAAGGGGUGUGGGCAAGAAGUAAAAAGGACAAACUGUUAAUGAGAACACUUUCUGUAUUCCUCCCUCCCCACUGAUACAUACCAGUACCAUAAAAUUUAAAAUGAGUCAAAUGACUGCAGUAAGACUUUACUUUGGUAUACGAGGCAAAAUGUUGGACAUGGGUGCUAAUUAAUCAUCAGAGAGUUACAGGGGAACCUGGACGAAUUAAGACUGGGGCAAGAGACAGCUCAUCAAGGAUCUUGCCCUGUAGCUCAAGAAGAAAAUGUUUAACUUAGUUGCCUGGACACUCUGAGGAUAGAAUGAAAUGCUGUAUGCGACCUGUUGGCCUUGGAAGCCGGCAUGGAUUCAGCACCCAGGGUUGGGGUGAACCUUCUCUCCCUCACUGUGUCAGGCAUCUUAGUCUGCCCCAGGAUGUGCAGGCUGCCUGUCCCUGGCCUCACAUCCUGCUGUAAGUGGGAUUGUGACCCCCUGAAAUGCAUAUGUUGAAGCCCUAACUGCCUCUGUGAUGGUAUUUGGAGGUGAAGCCUUUGGGAGAUAAUUAGGGUUAGAUGAAGUCCUAAGGACCUCCAUGAUGGGAUUAGUGUCCUUACAAGAAGAGGAAGAGACACCAGAGCUUCCCCUCUCUCACCUGUGAGGACAGAGGUAGCAGGUGGCUGUG
rnacentral:lncRNA from 10 species